GUAAAGGAAAUGAAAUAUGUUAGCCUUGAAGGUGAUGCGAUGAAGACCUUUGGCCAUAGGCAUAGACAGACAUACUUUCUUACUUAGCUCGUGUGGCAGGUCUCUUCCAGCAACCUUCUAAUGAGGACAUUUCUGCUUCUCUUAUGCUUCCAUCAUCGUUUCCUUCUGCCUACACCAUCAACCCCAGUCUACGACUGGUUUUACCCAUCAGUCUCUGGUGUCAUCUCCCAUGGCUUCUGGAACCAUGAUAGUCAGUGGAACAAUGAAAGUUUAGACACGACGAAAAAUAUCUUAAUAAGGAGUUGCCUUGGACUGGAGAGAUGGCUCA